GAUGAACGCUGGCGGCGUGCCUAAUACAUGCAAGUCGAGCGAACAGACGAGGAGCUUGCUCCUCUGACGUUAGCGGCGGACGGGUGAGUAACACGUGGAUAACCUACCUAUAAGACUGGGAUAACUUCGGGAAACCGGAGCUAAUACCGGAUAAUAUAUUGAACCGCAUGGUUCAAUAGUGAAAGACGGUUUUGCUGUCACUUAUAGAUGGAUCCGCGCCGCAUUAGCUAGUUGGUAAGGUAACGGCUUACCAAGGCAACGAUGCGUAGCCGACCUGAGAGGGUGAUCGGCAACACUGGAACUGAGACUCGGUCCAGACUCCUACGGGAGGCAGCAGUAGGGAAUCUUCCGCAAUGGGCGAAAGCCUGACGGAGAAACGCCGCGUGAGUGAUGAAGGUCUUCGGAUCGUAAAACUCUGUUAUUAGGGAAGAACAAAUGUGUAAGUAACUAUGCACGUCUUGACGGUACCUAAUCAGAAAGCCACGGCUAACUACGUG
rnacentral:rRNA from 1 species